CCUACGGGGGGCAGCAGUGAGGAAUAUUGGUCAAUGGGCUUACGCCUGAACCAGCCAAGUCGCGUGAGGGAAGACUGCCCUAUGGGUUGUAAACCUCUUUUGUCAGGGAGCAAUUGGCGCUACGUGUAGCGUUAUCGAGAGUACCUGAAGAAAAAGCAUCGGCUAACUCCGUGCCAGCAGCCGCGGUAAUACGUAGGGGGCAAGCGUUAUCCGGAAUUACUGGGUGUAAAGGGAGCGUAGACGGUGAUGCAAGUCUGGAGUGAAAGGCGGGGGCCCAACCCCCGGACUGCACUGGAAACUGUGUAACUUGAGUGCAGGAGAGGUAAGCGGAAUUCCUGGUGUAGCGGUGAAAUGCGUAGAUAUUAGGAGGAACACCAGUGGCGAAGGCGGCUUACUGGACUGUAACUGACGUUGAGGCUCGAAAGCGUGGGGAGCAAACAGGAUUAGAUACCCUAGUAGUC
rnacentral:rRNA from 1 species